rnacentral:rRNA from 1 species
GACGAACGCUGGCGGCGCGCCUAACACAUGCAAGUCGAACGGGAUCUUUUAGGAAGCUUGCUUCUUGGCUGAUCUAGUGGCGGACGGGUGAGUAACACGUGAGCAACCUGCCGAAGAGUGGGGGAUAACGCCUGGAAACGGACGCUAAUACCGCAUAACAUCAUCGUAUGGCAUCAUAUGGUGAUCAAAGGAGUAAUCCGCUUUUUGAUGGGCUCGCGCCCGAUUAGAUAGUUGGUGAGGUAAUGGCUCACCAAGUCUGCGAUCGGUAGCCGGACUGAGAGGUUGAACGGCCACAUUGGGACUGAGACACGGCCCAGACUCCUACGGGAGGCAGCAGUGGGGAAUAUUGCACAAUGGGGGAAACCCUGAUGCAGCGACGCCGCGUGAGUGAAGACGGCCUUCGGGUUGUAAAGCUCUGUUGUGGGGGACGAGAAUGACGGUACCCCAUCAGAAAGCCACGGCUAACUACGUGCCAGCAGCCGCCGUAAAAC